rnacentral:rRNA from 1 species
CAGUCGCCGCGGUAAUACGGAGGGUGCGAGCGUUAAUCGGAAUUACUGGGCGUAAAGCGUACGCAGGCGGUUUGUUAAGUCAGAUGUGAAAUCCCCGAGCUUAACUCGGGAACUGCAUUUGAAACUGGCAGGCUAGAGUCUCGUAGAGGGGGGUAGAAUUCCAGGUGUAGCGGUGAAAUGCGUAGAGAUCUGGAGGAAUACCGGUGGCGAAGGCGGCCCCCUGGACGAAGACUGACGCUCAGGUACGAAAGCGUGGGGAGCAAACAGGAUUAGAUACCCCUGUAGUCCCUGUCUCUUAUAA